CAUGGCCUUUAAAAAGUAGCAUAUCAUCUUUAUCUAAUGGACAGCAUAUCAGAACAAAACCUAUCUGGAGUCAAAGAAUUAAGAUGUACCACACAGGCAAGAUCGAUUACAACCACUUCAGGUGCCUCUAAUGGGUCACAACCUACAACUGGAAAAGCACUGCUUUAAUGAUAUGGGAGAUAGGUCUACGAGUGCCAAGGCUGAGUCCAGAACUCAGGAAUUUGAUUGCUCCCCCAACUCUUGGAGGUAUUCUGGGGGAUAUGCUGCAGCUUGGACAUUUGUUAUGCUCCAGGUUACAAAGACUAGAAGCCUCGGGAUGACAUGCAUGCCCUAGCAGCCAUUCUGCCAAAACUUGGUAGUGAGAUGAGCUGGCCACAGCCCAAGGGCCAUGUUACUAGGUGCACAGACUGAAGGCCUCAGAAUUGAGCCUGCUCGGUCCACAUACUUCAAAAGCAAGGACUUGUGGUGGCUCCAACAGUUGUCUUGCCCAGUAUACACAUAAAAAGCCUCCGGAGGGAAUACAGCCUUGGUGUGUCAACAUUCCCUUAAUCUGCCUGAUUCAAAACAGUGUGCAGCCUCCAUGUUGCCCGAACCAGCUGAGUGUGAGCUGAGAAGAAACACAGCAGGCUUCAGUUUUGGCCCAGUAUCUAUCUCAGUAUCUAGCAGUUUCUAACGUAGAAGACUGGGAAUAAAGCAUACCAGCUAGGAGGAAUUAA